rnacentral:lncRNA from 1 species
AAUCUAGGGGACUUCCGGUCAAGAUGGUGGCUUAGAAGCUGCGAAAGUUCAGACCUCAGAAACCCUUUCUUACCUAUCGCAAACUGAGAGCUCCUAGGACACCGAAAUUCAAGCUGAACAACAGGACAGACCCGGGGAACCCUCCUCCCAGACCUGGAUCAAAAGACCUCAUCUUUCUUGACCUUAUCUACUACAUUUGGUGCUAUUGAUCACUCUCUUCUCCUGCAUCUUGGAAGGAGUUUCAGAGGUCAUUGACUCUAACUCACUCAUUAUACAGAUGAUGAAACUGAGGCCCAGAGAUGAAGUGACUUGUUUAAGUUCCUGCCGGUGGUAAGUGACUAAGACAUAAUUUAUAUUCAUGUCUUCCUAAAUCCAUGUCCAGCAUUCUAACUGC